rnacentral:lncRNA from 12 species
UGAUUUCCUUAUGCAGUUCAAAACAGUAAUCCUAAACAAUUGAAGUCAGCACUAUGAAAUUAUGUCAACAGGCAUAAUUCAAGAUUGAAAUUCAAACCGACAGCUACAUUAAUGCUGGGAAACCAGAAGAGUGCAUUUGAGCUGGGGGAAGGAUCUCACAGCGAGCUGGUCUAAAGCAGGGCAGAAUACACAAGUAAUUCAGGCUUUUGUACCCUCAGAUAUCCAAUUUGUGAACUCAGAACUGUUCUGUGUGUACCCCUGUGUCUCUCUCAUCAAACAAAGGAACGGUGAAGCAAAGCUGACCUGGGAAUUAAAGUGGUUUGCAUUCUUUCUUCUGAGGCUGACUUCCAUUUUGAAAGGUCAUUGACUUAACAUACAGAGGAGGAAAUAUCAU